rnacentral:rRNA from 1 species
UACGAAGGGGGCUAGCGUUGCUCGGAAUCACUGGGCGUAAAGCGCACGUAGGCGGAUUGCUAAGUCAGGGGUGAAAUCCUGGGAGCUCAACUCCAGAACUGCCUUUGAUACUGGUGAUCUUGAGCCCGGGAGAGGUGAGUGGAACUGCGAGUGUAGAGGUGAAAUUCGUAGAUAUUCGCAAGAACACCAGUGGCGAAGGCGGCUCACUGGCCCGGUACUGACGCUGAGGUGCGAAAGCGUGGGGAGCAAACA